UACGUAGGGGGCAAGCGUUGUCCGGAAUCAUUGGGCGUAAAGAGCGUGUAGGCGGCCAGAUAAGUCCGCUGUGAAAACUCGAGGCUCAACUUCGAGCUGUCGGCGGAAACUAUCUGGCUAGAGUCCGGAAAAGGAGAGUGGAAUUCCUGGUGUAGCGGUGAAAUGCGCAGAUAUCAGGAAGAACACCCGUGGCGAAGGCGGCUCUCUGGGACGGUACUGACGCUGAGACGCGAAAGCGUGGGGAGCGAACAGG
rnacentral:rRNA from 1 species